UACAUGCAAAGUUAGCAAAGAUGAUAAAGGUUUAGAAUGCACGAGUUAUAUUACUAAUAAAAUUAUUUUUUCGGAAUUCAUCCGUUCUAUCAACAGUUAAUAAAAAUAUUUGUUUACUAUUUUUUUUUUUUAAAUACGAUUGACUUGUUACUAAUGAUGUGAUACAAGUGUGACACAAUAACUUUUUUUCAAAAAUGUUUGGUGAGUCUAAUUUUGAAGUGAG
rnacentral:lncRNA from 1 species